rnacentral:rRNA from 1 species
GAGGAAAAGAAACUAACAAGGAUUCCCCUAGUAGCGGCGAGCGAAGCGGGAAGAGCUCAAAUUUGUAAUCUGGCACCUUCGGUGUCCGAGUUGUAAUCUCGAGAAGUGUUUUCCGCGCUAGACCGCAUAGAAGUCUGUUGGAAUACAGCGUCAUAGGUGGUGACAACCCCGUACGUGAUGCGGAUGCCUAGUGCUUUGUGAUACACUUUCGAAGAGUCGAGUUGUUUGGGAAUGCAGCUCAAAUUGGGUGGUAAAUUCCAUCUAAAGCUAAAUAUUGGCGAGAGACCGAUAGCGAACAAGUACCGUGAGGGAAAGAUGAAAAGCACUUUGGAAAGAGAGUUAAAAGUACGUGAAAUUGUUGAAAGGGAAACGCUUGAAGUCAGACUUGCGUAUUGGAGUUCAGCCGCAAGGUGUAUUCUUCAGUUUGCAGGCCAGCAUCAGUUUUUGGGGGUACAAAAGGGUAGGAGGAAGGUGGCAGCUUUGGCUGUGUUAUAGCCUCUUACUGGAUGUAUCCUUGGGGACUGAGGACUGCAGCGCACUUUUUGCAAGUCCCUCGGGACUUUCUGCGCUUAGGAUGCUGGUGGAAUGGCUUUAAACGACCCGUC